UUAUUAUUAUUAUUAUUAUUAUUAUUAUUAUUAUUAUUAUUAUUAUUAUUAUUAUUAUUAUUAUUAUUAUUAUUAUUUUAUGUUAAGCGUAGAAUGUACUUUUCAUUUGUCUUUAUUUUUAUUUUUAUUCGUGACUCAAGACGGCUUGAAAGAUGGGUUGAAUGAGAUAGGAUAAUUUGUAUAGGUAUUAGUCAAGCAUGAGGAUUGGAAAGGGUAGAAGAUCGUAGAGGUUUAUGUAGUUUUGUGGUAUGAUUUGGAUUGGUUGACUCAAUUCUUUUUCCUUUGUUUACUUGGGUAAAUUUCGCACUUUGAGAGGUACGGGCUAAGUAUUUCAUGGCUCGUUAUUUUCGCAUUCCUUUUUCUCUUUCUCUUUUUUCUUUUUUGCUUGGGAUUUCUCCCCCUUUUUAUUUGGGCUAAAAGGUAGAUGCUUGUGGUCUUUGAGUCACGAGGCAAGACUGAGUGAGCCUCGUCUGGUAGGCCUAUAGUGGACCUUUAAUUUUAGUAGGCAAAGGGUGGACCUUUAAUUUUAGUAGGCCUAGGGUGGACUUUUAAAUUGUCCUACUUUGCAAUAGUAUUUAGUUGUUUCUUAAAAUGUGCAAAUAGCGUAGAUUCAAAAUAUUUUUUUUACUUUAUUGAAAUUUAACGAAAGAAUUACAUCGAAAAUAAUUUUUUGCUUCUUUUCAGAUUCCAGUUUCCGGGAUUUAAUUGGAAGUUGUGAUUAAGACUCGAACUUUCAUUAAUUUUUCUGAUUAUAACCCGUGUAUGAAUACAAGGAGGUGGCAUAGACUCAAAAUAAUAAUACUUGACCAAGCGACUCUCAAACUUAGGCUAAUUGGACCAUAACUUUCGUCGGUUUGACACUUUAGAUUUUAACCCUUGGGUGUUCAUUUGUCAUGCGCCAUUUUGCUUAAUGUUGGCAAGGUAGUUAGUUGGGGGGAUCGAAUUUUCAUUUUUGCAAGACUAGAAUCAUUAGUGCGGCUUCCCUCUUAGUGUGUAUUGCUUUACCCCAAUGGUAGCCUUAUGGCAUGCCGAUUUGGGUAUUUUCAUGGUUCGUCAUGUUGCAUUCAUGGAAAAUCUUUUAGUCCGUACGUAGGAGUACUUCAAGGAGCGAGUGGCUCGAGAGGACUAUGAUAGUCGUGACCCAAUGUGAUCAUAAGCCUUGAGGCCAUUAAUUUUUUUCUUUUGCCAAUAGUAUUGACACUUUAGGCUCACUUUGGGGGUUGUGCGACUAUGGAGGAAUGAUUUUCAGAAUGUGACUGUUUUCCAUUUUGCAAAUACUUGAAUUACAUAAUAUAUUCUUUUUAUGGGUGAGAGAGAUUAUUGAGGCCGUAGAUUCUUAGAAAGGGAUGACAAUUACAUAUGGGUGCUUAUUGAUUUCUUUUAAAUGUUAGGAAGGGAGACUCAAUAUGGUUUAACCUUUUAACUUGCAGAACGACACCAAGCAUUAGGACCGAUUCUAUGUAUAAGACAACUAAGGCUUAGGAUUUAGAUUGUACUUUGGCAUAGCCUAGUCUAGACUCGGAUUUAUUUAUUUUUUAUUCGAGCAUUAUCUUUCCUUGAAAACUUUAUUUGAACAUCAUUUUUUGAAUACUUUGCCCAUGUGACAUUCAAGGUUAUUUUAAUUAGCAUGCUCGGUUUUGGUGCCGAACAUUGUCGUCAUAGGAGGCCUAACGACGACACAAGGAGUUGUUUAUUUUAUAAGUCGUUUUUAGAAUUGAGUGCCUUUUUCAUACGUCCUCGUAGCAAAUUUGUUAUGAAUUUUUUAUUGCUACGUAUAUUUUGUGCGCGGGGACAUGCACCAAUGAGAGGGACCUUAGUGGGCGAGCGACACGACCCCAGGUAUUUUCAGCGCCCAGGGCUGGGCGCCGAAGAUUUCGGCGCCCAGACCCAGGCGUUGAAAAUAGGAUCUGGGCCGAGCCUUUUUGUCAGAUUUGGACUCUUAAACACGGAGCUUUUGAGAAUUAUCCGAGUUUCUUAGUGCGUAUUAACUUAUGACGGAAUGCGUCUGGGCCCGUUACGAACUCUAGGUUCGUUAGGAAUUUAAUUAAUACGUAACUCUUAUUUCCGAAUUAUAGCAGGAAUAGAAUUCCUUUUGCCAAUUCUAUCUCUUUUAGGACUUAUGUUGGAGUGCAACACCUAAUUCUGACAGAUUUCUAUCUUUUAUGACUUUGCCACUUUGAACAACUAUUUCUUACGGCAGUUACUAUUCUUAACAGGUUUCUAUAAAUAGCAGUUUUGGCUGAAAUGAAAGGGUGAUUGAGAUUCGUUAUUUUAUAGGAGAUGCGUUGCCAAAUGGAGAUUUAUGUUCUCAUCAUCGAACCUUCCCUUUCGGGAAUGGGGACAAAAGUAGGUGUCUACACCGUAGGCCUAGGUACUAGAUCCCAUAUCCCUGUUUUAACUAAAGUCCCAUAUUCAUCUUGCAUCGCCUCAUUCCAGUUCGGGUCAAUUAAAGCUUGUUAAUGGUUUUUAGGUAGAGGGGAACGAGUUAAUGUGGGUCCACUAGGUUGUAUGGUGAGAGCAUGAAGGAAAUGAUGCCCUUGGUCCAAGUAUGCAUUCAAUGCUAAGUCUAAUCAAAGCGGUUUAGUAUUAAUUGAUUAAACAAGUUAAUAAUUAAGUGAGAUCAAGUGAGCUGAAUGCCUAGCUAGAGGCCGCUUCAGUUCAAGUGGAAUUAAUAAUAUUAAUCUACAACUUACUCUUGACUGAACUCGUAGGGUCACACAAAUAUAUAGUACGUGAACGGAUCAAGUAUUUAAAUGAAUAUAUUAUUCAUUAAAUACUCUAUUUAUGAACAUUGGGAAACGAUGGAUCUCGGUUCCAGUGGGAGCUGAAAUCGUCAAAAGGAAAAAUAUAGAAUACUCCGAAAAUGAUGAUAUUGCCGGAAACGAAAAUAUGGAUCAUAACGGAAAUAUAAAUAUUAUCCAAGUCGUAGAUGUUGCCGGAAACGGAAUCAUGGUUCGUAUCGGAAAAUAUUAUCGGAAAUAGAAAUAUUACUGGAAAUGGAAAUAUUGUCGGAAACGAAAAUAUUACAGGAAUCAGAAAUAUUGUCGGAAAAGGAAAUUAUUUCCGGAAUCGGAAAUAUUAACGGAAACGUAAAUAUUUGUUGGAAUCGGAAACAAAUUCGGGAAUCGGAAAACGAAUCGGAAGCGCGACGUGCGAACGAUCGACGAACGAGCUUGCGAUACGCAAGGCCCAGCGCAAGCGCCAGGCCUAGCGCCAAGCAAGCCCGCGCGCGGAGCAUCGAGCAUGAGCAGCGAGCAUGGGCCAAGCAGCAGCGCCCAACGAGAUGGGCCGCGUGCUGCUUGCUCCCACGCCCAGCACGCAUGGGCCGAGCCAAGCAGCAGCGCCCACUCAUGGGUUGCGCGUUGCGGGGCUGCGUGCUACACGGCCAACGCCUUGGCCGGUUAGGAUUGCUUGCUUAUCGUGUUUCCUAAUUCUACUGAAAUUAGAUGUUUUGGUUAAAUCAGAAAUACUUAGUAUUUGAUUAAACCUAAAAUUCCAAUGUUAUUAGUUAAUUAGAAUCCUUAUGGAUUUAGUUAAUCGAUUCCUAGUAGAAUUCUAACUCCUCUAUUUCCACCUUUUAAAUAUGUGGUUCAUUAUCACAAUUUAUAACGCAAUUCAAUAAGUAUUCCAAUACAUUAAGUUCAAGAGAGAAUUUAGUAUUUGCCUAAUAUUAUUGUGAGUUUCCCGAGUGCACAUAAAACCUUAGAGAAUAUUCUAGUUAGUUGAAUCUAAGGCGGAUCCGAACGUGCUGUGGACUAUCUACGGAGGGGCGACAUUUGGAGUCCUAUACUUGUUCUUGUUCGGUUCGGGAGCAGCUAGGGAAGGCACGCAUCACAUUGUUAUGGAAAGUGACUAGUAUGGCUCAAAUAGGAUAGAAAAUAUGGUAUGCGUACCAUUAAUCUGAAUGUAAAAUUGGUCUAAUGCACCAAAGUUUUUAAUUUUAAAUAUGGUCUGCAUACCAUCAAAUAAUAGUUGUAAUUAGUUUUAAUUAUGACAUAUCCUAUUUGAAGAAAAUGGCGCCUCCCAUGGUAAAAUUCAAGACUGAGUUUCCGAUCCAUUUUGAAAGACGGAGUUUGAAUUUGAAGCUUCAAGAUGAAGUCGGGUCAUACUAGAUCACAUUUAAAUCUUAUGCAUGCUUUAAGUUAUUUAUUGCUUUAAAUACGUCUUAAUUAUGCAUGAGAUUAUGGCUUGAGUCCUUUUAUGUCGUGGCAAAACAUAUAGGUUUACCUAAUAAGUUCUUUGACGUACCUAUCAACCAAGAAUAGUUUCUAGACUAUUAACAAAAGAUUUGCUUACCUAAAAUAUUUUAUAAUUGAGUCUAAAUACAUAAUGUGAUUAAUUUUUCGAUGAUUUUAGGAUAUUGGAUUCAUUUUAUUCACACCUGUCGGAACACAAAAACUCGAAUAAAAUGCUUAAUAAAUAUUGAAUUAUGCAUGAAUGCUAGAAUUUUAGUUUAUUAAGAGAAACUUUAUUUGUUUAUUCUUUUCAAUUGUAGUUUUAACUAUGGCAAACAAUAAUUCAUUCAACAUCCGUGCAAUUCUCGAAAAGGAGAAGUUGAGCGGGAAAAACUUCCUUGACUGUCAAAGGAACUUGCAAAUAGUUCUUAUCCAGGAAGAAAAGGAGUAUGUCUUGGAAGAGCCGAUGCCCGAAGCCGCGGGCGAAGGGGUCACUCAGGCAGCCCUCAAUCGUUGGAUUGAUGCCAAAAAGGAUGUGAAAUGUCUAAUGCUUGCAACCAUGAGUGCAAAUCUACAGAAAACGUUCAUCAACUCAGAUGCUUUCACAAUCAUCAGUGAGUUAAAGAACAUGUUCCAAGAUAUGGCUCGAGUCGAAAGAUUCGAGACUCAUAGGCAAAUUCUUGACACCAAGCUCAAGAAGGGCGAGCCCGUAAGUCCACAUGUUCUCAAGAUGAUUGGAUUAAUUGAGAAUAUGAGUCGGCUGGAUCAGCAGUUCUCUCAAGAAAUGGGUGUAGGCACCAUCCUCCAUUCUCAUCAUAGCGGGUAUGAUCAGUUCAAGCUGAACUACAACAUGAAUAGUCUGGACAAAACGCUCACUGAGCUUCACGGUAUGCUGAAGACCGCUGAAAAGACGCUCAAAAGUGAUAAGCAAGAUGUGCUUAUGGUGCGUGGGAGCAAGUUCAAGAAAUCUGGCAAAAAGAGGAAUCCUAAGAAAGGUGGCAAGAAAGCCAGCCCAACUAAGCAAACUGGCGGCACCAAGUCUGAAAAGAAGAAGGUGAGCCAACCCACUUCUGAAUUGAAUGCUUCUACUGUAAGAAGAAGGGGCAUUGGAAGAGAGAUUGCUUGAAGCUUAAGGAAGAUCAGAAGAACGGAACCGUCGUCCCAUCUUCAGGGACAAAGAAGAAGUAGAAGGUUAAGCAAGAGUGAAAUCGACCUACGAGUGAGAAAUGGAGCAAGGAUUGCUGCAUUAGCUGUAGGAACUUAUUAUUUUUCGUUUCCCUCUGGGCUAGUUUUGGAACUGGAAGAGUGUUUCCAUGUUCCAAGUCUUACUAAAAACAUCAUUUCUAUUUCUUGCUUAGAUGCUAAGGGAUUUACCUUUUUAAUAAAAGACAAUAGUUGCUUGUAUUAUUUUAAAGAGAUGUUUUAUGGAUCUACUAGAUUAUUCAAUGGACUUUAUUUGCUA